rnacentral:lncRNA from 1 species
GGUAGAAAAGGAGUAGUCCUAUGCGAUUCGCAAGACUGAGUUCAGAAAGUCUCUGGCUAGAGCAAGAGUGAAUAUUGAAAAGGAGUUUUUACAGAAUUCAUAAUAAACUCGAGUCGAACCAAUCUAGCAUAUGACUGACGAUGGAAUUUGAUGAGUUUUUCAUGACCUCUAUCUAGUUGGGACUCACGACAGAGAGAUUGUAUCAUAUGAUACUUGUCCCUAGA